rnacentral:rRNA from 1 species
AGCAGCCGCGGUAAUUCCAGCUCCAAUAGCGUAUAUUAAAGUUGUUGCAGUUAAAAAGCUCGUAGUUGAAUUUCGGGGUCAGCAAGUUGGUCGUGCCACUGGUAUGUACUGGCUUCGCUGAUUCCUCCUUCUUGUAGAACCGUAAUGCCAUUAAUUUGGUGUUGCGGGAAAACAGGACUGUUACUUUGAAAAAAUUAGAGUGUUUAAAGCAGGCUAACGCUUGAAUACAUUAGCAUGGAAUAAUGAAAUAGGACGACGAUCCUAUUUUGUUGGUUUCUAGGAUUGACGUAAUGAUUAAUAGGGAUAGUUGGGGGCAUUAGUAUUCAAUUGUCAGAGGUGAAAUUCUUGGAUUUAUUGAAGACUGACUACUGCGAAAGCAUUUGCCAAGGAUGUUUUCAUUAAUCAAGAACGAAAGUUAGGGGAUCGAAGACGAUCAGAUACCAUCGUAGUCUUAACCAUAAACUAUGCCGACUAGGGAUCGGAUGAUGUUAAUUUUAUAAUGA